rnacentral:lncRNA from 1 species
AUACAGACUCUAAAGCAGAAAACAAAAUCUACUUUUUUAUAAAUUGAGGGAUAUACAUAUAGAUGUACAUUUUAGACUCUAAAAUUAAGGAUUUCCUGGUGUGGUGUUUUUCAAAUGUUUGAAUAAAAGAAAGAUUUUUAAUAUUGUGAAUAAUUAUUGUUUAUUGUGUCUUUAGGUCUUGGAAUAUUCAGAACAGUUGAAUGAAAACAAGAAUCUCUAAAGGCUUCUACCACAAACUCCAGAAGACAAAACAAUUGUCUACUAAAAUGGCUAGAGAUUACCUUCACUCUGGAUUAAUCAUCUUUGGUUAUAUAAACAAUAGUAAUUUUGCUGGUGCUGUUCUGACUAUAAAAUAUGAAGACUUCUUGUGGAACCAUGAAUUCAUGCCAAGUCUGUCCUUGGUUCAUCAUGCAGACUGCCAUCAACUAAUCUGACGAUUCUAUUAGGACAUUGAUCAGAAGAUGGGAGGCCAAAACCUUUUUAACCCUUUAAUUGCAAAUCAUUCUUCCAUUCAUAAAGGAAGGAAACUUUCCCAUUCAGAACAUGGUGUUUAUUGAAAUCUUUAAAAUGAGUUUUGUUCUAACUAGCUUGAAAGUUACCAAUGAUGUUAGAGCUUUUUCAGUUUCCUCAGCUCAUUCAAAUAUUCUUUCUAU